GACCAAGAAGUCUAACAUGUGUGCAAGUCAUUGGGUAUGUGUGUUGAAACCUAAAGGCGAAAUUAAAAUAACUAUUUUAAUGGGAUUAUAAGCGAUUAAAUACGUUAAACUAUUUAUCGUUUUUCCAUCCCGGGGCGUUCAUAUAUAAACAUGGUUUAAGCAAUUAAACUCUCUGUUUGUGAGCGUACCUUGAGCAUACAUGCUGUGACCCGAAAGAUGGUGAACUAUGCCUGAUCAAGUUGAAGUCAGGGGAAACCCUGAUGGAGGACUGAAGCAGUUCUGACGUGCAAAUCGAUUGUCAGAAUUGGGUAUAGGGGCGAAAGACCAAUCGAACCAUCUAGUAGCUGGUUCCCUCCGAAGUUUCCCUCAGGAUAGCUGGUGCAAUGAGAAAUCUUAUAUAUAAUCUUAUCUGGUAAAGCGAAUGAUUAGAGGCCUUGGGGUCGAAACGACCUCAACCUAUUCUCAAACUUUAAAUGGGUAAGAACCUCAUCUUUCUUGAUGUGAAGAUAUAGAGGUUGAGAUAUAUUGUGCCCAGUGGGCCACUUUUGGUAAGCAGAACUGGCGCUGUGGGAUGAACCAAACGCAAUGUUACGGCGCCAAAAUUAAUGACUCAUAUUGACACCAUGAAAGGCGUUGGUUGCUUAAAACAGCAGGACGGUGGACAUGGAAGUCGUAAUCCGCUAAGGAGUGUGUAACAACUCACCUGCCGAAGCAACUAGCCCUUAAAAUGGAUGGCGCUCAAGUCAUAUGCCUAUACAUUGCCGUUAGAAUACAUAAGAUUUGUUUGUUUUUUUUAAACAAGUUUUUUGAAAUUCUAAUGAGUAGGAGGGUACAAUGGUGUGCGCAGAAGUGUUUGGCGUAAGCCUGCAUGGAGCCGCCAUUGGCACAGAUCUUGGUGGUAGUAGCAAAUAAUCGAAUGAGACCUUGGAGGACUGAAGUGGAGAAGGGUUUCGUGUGAACAGUGGUUGAUCACGAGUUAGUCGGUCCUAAGCUCUAAGCGAAUGCUGUUUAAUUUAUGUUACUAAUUUUUGUAUAUAAUAAUACAAUGUGCUGUACAUAAAUAAUAUAAGAGCGAAAGGGAAUACGGUUCCAAUUCCGUAACCUGUUGAGUAUACGUUUGUUUAUUAAAAAUGGGUCAUUGACACUCAUCCUGGUAACAGGAACAACCAUAGAGAAGCCUUCGAGAGAUACUGAAAGAGUUUUCUUUUCUGUUGAACAAUCGUAUCACCAUGGAAGUCUUUCACAGAGAGAUAUGGUGAAUGGAUUGGAAGAGCAUGACAUUUAUUGUUGUGUCAGUAUAUUCUCCUUGGACCUUGAAAAUCUAUGGUAGGGCCACGCAAACUUCUCAACAGACCGUACCGAUAUCCGCAG
rnacentral:rRNA from 1 species